ensembl:lncRNA
GGUUAUAGGGUUACCUAUAGGGUUGGUUUAUUACAUAUAGGGUUGGGGUUACCUAUAGGGUUGGGGUUGGGGUUAUUAUAUAUAGGGUUACCUAUAGGGUUACCUAUAGGGUUAGGGUUGGGGUUGGGGUUGGGGUUAUUAUAUAUAGGGUUACCUAUAGGGUUACCUAUAGGGUUAGGGUUGGGGUUGGGGGGAGGAAGAGUUGGUUAUGAGGGGCUGGUAUANNNNNNNNNNNNNNNNNNNNNNNNNACACCCCAUAGACCCCAUAGACCCCAACAGACACUCACUCACCCCAUAGACCCCUAUAGGCACCCCAUAGACCCCCACUCACCCCAUAGACCCUAUAGACACCCCAUAGACCCCUAUUGACACCCCAUAGACCCCUAUUGUCACCCCAUAGACCCUAUAGACCCCACAGACCCCUAUUGUCACCCCAUAGACCCUAUAGACCCCANUAGACCCUAUAGGCACCCCAUAGACCCCUACUGACACCCCCUAUACACAUCCACUCAUCCCAUAGACCCCUACUGACACCCCAUAGACACCCCAUAGACCCCAAUAGACACUCACUCACCCCAUAGACCCCUAUUGACACCCCAUAGACCCCUACUGACACCCCAUAGACCCCAUACAUCAGUCACGCACCCCAUAGCCCCCAACAGACACCCCAUAGACCCCCACAGACCCCUAUUGACACCCCAUAGACCCCAAUAGACACUCACUCACCCCAGACACCCCAUAGACACCCCAUAGACCCUAUAGACCCCAUUAGACACCCCACAGACCCUAUAGACCCCAUUAGACACCCCACAGACCCCAACAGACACUCACUCACCCCAUAGACACCCCAUAGACCCCUAUACACAUCCACUCACCCCAUAGACCCCUACUGACACCCCAUAGACCCCUAUUGACACCCCAUAGACACCCCAUAGACCCCAAUAGACACUUACUCACCCCACAGACCCCUAUUGACACCCCAUAGACCCCAAUAGACACUCACUCACCCCACAGACACCCCAUAGACCCCUAUUGACACCCCAUAGACCCCAAUAGACACUCACUCACCCCAGAUACCCCAUAGACACCCCAUAGACCCUAUAGACCCCAUUAGACACCCCACAGACCCUCACUCACCCCAUAGACACCCCAUAGACCCC